ACCUUAUGCUUAUUCUUGCAUUUAUAAGUUUGAGAUACCUGUUGAGUUGCUCGUUUGAGUAGUUCAUCAAGCUGGGGAGUUGCAGAGGCAUGGAAUCCUGGUCCAGAUACAGCACAGUCAACAUUCAAAGAGAGAGAGAGAAAGAGACCAGUCCAUAUUCCUCAGCGUCCCAAUUGCACAACACAAUUGUUCUUCGAGGUUUCCAUCCUUUUUUUUGCAAUUUCCCCAGUCUUUCUGCAAUCUACGUGCCACUGUUGGGAUCAACGGCUCCAAAUGUCCAUGCAUCCCGAUGAUUACCCAGAAUGACAAAUCUACAAAUAAUUGUAAAGUUGUG